rnacentral:rRNA from 1 species
CCCUGCCUUUUGUACACACCGCCCGUCGCACCUACCGAUUGGAUGGUCCGAUGAAAAUCAUGGACUGAGUACCUCCCUUCGGGGCAGGUAUACGGGAAGUGAUUUAAAUCUUAUCAUCUAGAGGAAGGUGAAGUCGUAACAAGGUUUCCG